UACGUAGGCAGCGAGCGUUGUUCGGAGUUACUGGGCGUAAAGCGUGCGUAGGCGGUGUCUUAAGUUUGUUGUGAAAUCUCCCGGCUUAACCGGGAGGGUGCGGCGAAUACUGAGAUGCUGGAGUGCCGGAGAGGUAAGCGGAAUUCCUGGUGUAGCGGUGAAAUGCGUAGAUAUCGUGAGGAAGACCAGUGGCGAAGGCGGGUCUCUGGACAGUUCCUGACACUGAGGCACGAAGGCCAGGGGAGCAAACGGG
rnacentral:rRNA from 1 species